UACGUAGGGUGCGAGCGUUAAUCGGAAUUACUGGGCGUAAAGCGUGCGCAGGCGGUCUGUUAAGACCGAUGUGAAAUCCCCGGGCUUAACCUGGGAACUGCAUUGGUGACUGGCAGGCUUUUGAGUGUGGCAGAGGGAGGUAGAAUUCCACGUGUAGCAGUGAAAUGCGUAGAGAUGUGGAGGAAUACCGAUGGCGAAGGCAGCCUCCUGGGCCAACACUGACGCUCAUGCACGAAGCGUGGAGCAACAGG
rnacentral:rRNA from 1 species